GAUGAACGCUGGCGGCGUGCCUAAUACAUGCAAGUCGAGCGAACAGACGAGGAGCUUGCUCCUCUGACGUUAGCGGCGGACGGGUGAGUAACACGUGGAUAACCUACCUAUAAGACUGGGAUAACUUCGGGAAACCGGAGCUAAUACCGGAUAAUAUAUUGAACCGCAUGGUUCAAUAGUGAAAGACGGUUUUGCUGUCACUUAUAGAUGGAUCCGCGCCGCAUUAGCUAGUUGGUAAGGUAACGGCUUACCAAGGCAACGAUGCGUAGCCGACCUGAGAGGGUGAUCGGCCACACUGGAACUGAGACACGGUCCAGACUCCUACGGGAGGCAGCAGUAGGGAAUCUUCCGCAAUGGGCGAAAGCGUGACGGAGCAACGCCGCGUGAGUGAUGAAGGUCUUCGGAUCGUAAAACUCUGUUAUUAGGGAAGAACAAAUGUGUAAGUAACUAUGCACGUCUUGACGGUACCGAAUCAGAAAGCCACGGCUAACUACGUG
rnacentral:rRNA from 1 species